AUGGAAUCCUUUACUUUCUUAUAAGAAGCCUGUCAAAGCUCCAAUGUUAUCAUCGUCUGGUACGUCAAAAGAAUACGAUGGAUGCAAAACCAACUCUCUGUGCAAGAAUAAAUUGUUGAAUCUGAGUCUGUUUUCUUCAAAUCUGAACUCCGAGAAGAGAGAAGAGGGGACACUUUGGUUAAGAUGGCAGGCGAUAUAUCAAUAUCUUGGGUUGAGGAUGGCCCUAAUUUGGUCAAGAUAGUAGAGGACAUUCACAGAUCUGCAGAUAAGUUGGGAAGAUCCAUUGGGUAUUGAAGCUCUCAUUUUUCGAAAUUUUGAGGGGUCAUUUUUGGAAAAAAUGAAACAUGAAGUCAAUUGGUGGAAAGAACAAUACAUUGAAGAUUUUGUUGUAGUAGACAAGAUUCAUAGAUGUAUUUUUCACAUCCUUUCCACGAUGAUUAAUGAACAUCGGAUGAACUUUUUUUUGGAGUGGGGAUUCUUGGCAUUUCUUGAUUCACAAGAGCUGGAAUUUGGAGAUUCCUUUCCUUCUACCAUCAUGAAUGCCAUCUACUCUGCUUCAAUUCACAUUGCCAUCUUUUCAAAAAGAUUGUGAUAAAGAGAUUCUACCAUCAUGAAUGUCAUUUGUUCUGCAUCAGUUCUCAUCGCCAUCUUAUUAACGAGAAGUAUCUCUUUCUACUAAAUUUGUGAUCUUCUCAAAAAAUACCAUGUAAUUUUGGUUGUCAUAUGCUAUGUUUUAGUUGAAAUAAUCAACUUCUCAAGUAUAACGUCUAGCCUGCUUCUAAUUCUGCAUCAAUUCAAAUUGUCAUCUACUCAAAAGAAUGUCAACUGCUAUGCUUCAGCUCUAAAGUUAUGUGGAUGACUCCUCAUGCUGAAGGGUCCACCUUUUGUCUUAAAAAUUUAAGAUUACUAGUCAUUGUUUUA